AAAAGUGAAUGCUACUGAGCUGAGGAACAUCCCAGACAGGAGAUCCAGCUAUUGUGUGCCUGAGGGAAUAGGCUGAGGCGCCCUCUUCUGGUGCAUCUGUAUAGAAAGAAUCCCUGUGCAGUGGUCAGGGGGCACCUGUCCUCUGAUGCCCUCCACUCCCAACACCAAAAUCAUUGCCUUUUAGAUGACAUCCAUCCCGAUUUAAAAAGUAAUAAACACUGUGUGUAUAAAACGUGGAAAGUAUAGGUGCAAAUACCAUGAGGGAAAAACAAAAAGAUGGAAGAAAGAGAAAAAGAAGGGACGGAAGAGAGGAAUGCGAACAGGGAAGGAGUGGAGAGGCCUUAAAAUUUAAUUAUCCAAAGAAAACCAAAACAAAAUUACAGUCCAUAUCCUUCCAGAAAUGGAGAGAUCUGUUCUCAUCUCACAUUUUCUUCUAUUGCAUUUUGACAAGAGUAUUUGUCUGUUUCUCAAAUUCUCUUGAAUAUGUAAGCAAAUGGUUGAUUUAAAGAUUCUUUCCGUUUUGAGCGUGCUCUUCCUCUGUCUUCGCUCUUUUGUUUAGCUCCUUCUUGGUAAGGGCAGAAUUUAUUCAUAAGCCCCAUGUCGCUGUUAUGUUCUUUUCUGUUAACUCAUUUUUGAAUGGGGUGAGACAGCAAGACUCCUGUUUGCCCCCAGAUAGCAUAGCUGCACGCAUGUCUGUCCUCCUUUCCGCCACCCUGAGCAUCGUUUGUAGCUUGGGUUAAACUUUCAGUUGGAGGGCUGGGGGCUGAUGACCUCCAAAGCCUAGGACAAGCGCUAAGGCCAUGGGCAGGAGCUCUCCUGGGAUGCUGCCACUGGGGUGAUGUUCUGCCACUUGGGAAUCAUGUCCUUUUCUGUUGGACGACUAGCUUUUAGGGUUCAGCUUCUUCCCUGGCUUUGAAACUAACUGGGUUAGAAAGAUGUUGCAAUUUGUAACCUUGUCUUUUAUCCUGUUCUUGUAUUUUAUUCUUCUUCCUCCUGUCACCUUUACUGUUUUAGUUCCUCAUUUUCUUUCUUUUUUUUUUUGACAUAGUCUCACUAUGUUGUCCUUGGUAGAGUGCCGUGGCUUCACAGCUCACAGCAACCUCAAACUCUUGGGCUUAAGUGAUUCUCUUGCUUCAGCCUCCCAAGUAGCUGGGACGACAGACGCCCGCCACAAUGCCCGGCUAUUUUUAAAGAUGGGGGUCUUGCUCUGCCUCAGGCUGGUCUUGAACUCCUGAGCUCAGGCAAUUCACCCACUCAGCCUCCCAGAAUGCUAGGAUUACAGGCGUGAACCACCGCACCUGACCCUUUUAUUGUCUUUUCUCACCUAUAACAAACCCACCAUUCCUUCAUCCUUGGAGGUAAGCUUGUGCUACCGCUAACAAAACUUCGUGAGAGAAAACUAAAGGGCCCUCAUUACUCCAAGCCUGGCAGAUCCUUACACCUGGCUCAUUUUUUUUAAUUGGGCCCUUCCACCUGCAGCUGUUGUGUGUGGACAGCGGCUCCCCACUCCAGCCUUGCUUCCCUGCAGUCUCUUACAUACAGACUCUCUCUGUGGACACAUCCUCCUCCCAGGCUGUGCUCUUGGGCGGGGCCUAAGCCAGCUCCACACCUGCCCUCUCUCCCACGCAGCCCACACUAAGUCCAUGAGAAACUCAUGCACUUCUGGCUCACUCUGGUGGGGUUAUGAUGGUUUCCUCAUAAAUGUCGCUCCUUCUCCCCUUCAUCCUCUGCCUUACCACAGACCAAUUUACAUUCUUUCAGGCAGGAGUCUGGGACCGGUGUGCAGGGCUCCCCCCAAAGGUAGGGUGUGCUAUUGAAAUUUAUGUCAUCUCAUAAAAAGGAAGAAGGUUAAUCCCGUCCCCUUGAGGAGAUAGAACUCCCAUCUGGAAGGCACUUUUUCUAAAAGCAUCUCCCAGAAUCUUUCCAUUUCUGUCUACUUUUCCAAAAACCACUAAGACUUUUAUGAUCGUGGAGUCUAUUCUCAGGUAUCUAUUAAUACUCGAAAGAUAUAGACAGUGGUCUACAUCAUCCUCGCUUUGGUAUCUGAUAGCUGGUAUAUUGGCCACUGAGUUAGAAUUUCAAUGCUAACUAAAACCCAUAGACUAAGGACAUUUAUUUUCUAUUAUUACUUGACUAAAAAAAUAGAUUUAGGUUGAUUCUGAGGCAUCAUCAUUUUGAAUUCUAUUCCUUACAGCAGCUCUUUCCUUCCAGAGAGAGAGCAGAGAAGUAGAAACUCAAUGGCAGAGUUUUGGGAACCCUCUCAGUUAAGAGGUGAGUGGAGGAAGGUAGGGCUGUGAGGAAUGUUGAGAAGGAGUCGGAUGUGUAGGAGAAAAACAAGUAGGGAGUGUUGUCAAGGAAGCCAAGCGCAGUGAGAGCUUUAGAGUGUUGGAUGACGCAGGAUGGUCAAGUGAGGCACAGACAGAACAGCCCCAGAGAUGUGACAGUCCUCACAUCAGUGCUGGCUCCAGCCUGCCUGGAUCGUCCUCGUCACGAGGGGAUGCGUUUCCGUGGGUGGAGAGGGAGAUGAAAGGACCGAGGGGAGGCAGCCGUCUAGACCACACUGUCCAAAGUUGUGAAGAAGGAAUGGAAUAGUGACCGGAGAUGGAGGCGUUGAGGGUGGAGAGCAAGGCCUUUUCAGUGUUCAGAUAUAAGAGACGUAAGCAUGUUUCUCUUCUGAGAGAAAUGAGCCGGUAAAAAAGGAUAAUUUAAUGAUACAAGAGGAAGUGGAGCAGCAAGUUUCCUGUAGUGGCAGGAGAGGAUCGACUGACUUCAAAAUAGACUCAGGUUCAGAGGACUUACGGCCUCCAUCCCUGGAACUCUGGCCAACCCGCCAUCCCAACUGGCCUGAACUCCCUGGCGUACCUGAAUUCUUGCAGUAGCCUCCUACCACAUCUCCCUACUUCCAUCCUUUAUAAUCCAACACCAAGAUGACACUUUCAAAAAUAUGUCCAGUGAGAUUGCUCUUCUGUGAAUACCCUCCAAUGGCCUCUACACUCACUCACCCCUUACUCUGUCCAGAAAGGAGCCGUGUGACCUGGCUGUGUCCCCACCCAUAGCUGCUUCUCUGCUGCUCCUCAGGCUCUUCAUCCUCCCACAUCAUCCCCCCACUAGCCCUUCAGUGGUUGAGCCCGUGUAUGGCCCAGGGCCUUUGCUCUUGACAUUCCUCUGCCAGGACUGUCACCAGUGUUUACCAGAUGUUCCCACAGCACACUCCCUGACUUCCUUGUCAGUUGUCUCCAUUCAAAUCAAUAAGGCCUCUUUGGAGCCCUCAAUAUAAAAUAGCAAUUGACUCCACCCCAGUACACCCUAACAGCCAGCCUGUUUAAUCACCAUUAUACUUAAUUACCAUCUGAGAUUUUGCUUACUGUCGAACUGAUAACCCACAAAUGAAAGUAGAAAUAUUGUGCUGUUUACGGUUAACAGCUACAUUUCAUCCCUUAAAACUGUACCUGGCAUAUAGUAGCUGCUCAAUAAACAUUUGUUGGCUGAUGAAUUAAUCCUAAGCCUAAAUGGAAGGAUUGGCCUUAAGCAGAAAGAAAAAAAUAAAAGAGGUCUAAGGGAAAACGAUUAUAACUGACAGGGGAAUUAAGAGCUUUAUAACAUAAUUGAAUUUUCAGGGGAAAAGAAGAUAAGUUCAACUGCUGAGAGAGAUGGCAAAGGUGGUGGCCCGGAAGGCGUGAGGUGACAGUUGACAUUUCGUGAUGGUGGAAGAAGGCGGUAGGAGGCCAUGAUGAAGCCAUUGGAGCUUAGAAAGACCAAAAUAACUGUCCUAGGAUGUACAGUGAUGGGGCUGGGAUUUCAAUCCAGGCAGCUUGACAGGAAAGCGCAGGCCGUCCAGCACCAAGCUCUGCUGCCAUCUUGCUUGGAGCAGCAGUGGGCAGCAGCCCACUGGGAAUUUAGCAGCUGGUAACAUUCUUGAGGGAAGUAGAGGAUGGAAUCGAAGCCGAGCAAUCUCAUCCAUGCCUUCCACAAGUCCGCACCAGGCCAUCAGCAUGAGGAUGUGCCUCAACGCAGAGCAUCCAUGUUCAAACUCUCCAGCCUCUGCUGACAGCUUGCUCUCAAGUUCAGCAAUUCUCAAUGCAAGGAUGUUAUUACUUUUCUACAAGAAAAUUCAGUAACGAUAACCAAGACUAUGGCAUGUUACCCUCUCCUAAAAGUCAUUCAAAUGUUUAAGGACAUUUGUUUAUUGAUAAUCAAACUUUCUUUCUCCAAAUCUUAUCUUUUCAUUUUUAGAACUCUUCAAAGCCCCUUUACACCCUUUACAUUUAAAAACAGUUGUCUUUUAAAGUUUUCUAUAUUCCUAUUAGUGUGAAACUAAGAAUUUUAAAAGCAUCUGGUCAGAUAAUAGUUUUGUGAAAAAGGGUGGUUUAUUUUUUUGUUUUGAAAUACUUUGGUGAAUUCUAAUAACAAGUUUUCAACAUUCAAAAUGGUUACUGAUUUAUUGAGAAUUUAUAUUUUCAAUUCUAAGUAGUAGUCAAUUCUCACAGCCCUAUGUUUCCACCCUCAAGAUGUAUCUUCAAAUAAGGGCGAUACAUGAUAGAGGGGAAAAUGGAACAAGCACUGAAGAAAAACAGGGAAUGACAAGGAGAUUGAAAUGUUUUUUUCUACAUGUCUCCCUAAUUUUAACUAGUUUAGAAUUAAUAAAUCACUUGGAGUCAGCCAACCUAUUUGAUUAUACAAAGCACAUUUUAUAGGCUUAGCUUGGAGCCUAGGAGUUUUCACUGCUCAAAGACAGAUUUUUUUUUUUUCCUGGCUUGAUCUUUUUUUUUUUUUUUUUUUUAAUGUUCAAGGUGAGUGGUUGCUUUUACACACUUUAAGAAGUUUAGAAGGUUAAUUGUAGCCAUGCACUAUGGUUUAUAAAACUAUCUUUCUGUUGGGGUUUGAGGAGGGGGAAGUGCCCAGGGGAAGAUUUCAAUAGAGAAUUUCCUUCUUACUACCCAACUUACCUUUAAAAUAGGAAAUGUAGACAGAAAGAUGAAGAAGCUGGGUGAGACCAGCUAGCUUCCUUCUUCCUAAAAGUUAGUCUGGUUGCAUGGUUUGUCCCAUAGGAUAAAUGGUCUUGAUAAGUCUUAUUCCUUGAACGAGGCAAGCUGAGAAGACCAGGUUUCCCCAGGAGAGACCACCCUAAAAGCCGUCCUCCUUAGGGUCAGGAUAGUCACAAAGGCAGAGGAUGAAGGGACCCAGCCAAGAUUGAGAAUCCAGGAGUGUAACCCUGACACAGUUCUUCCACAUGAUAGCAGGAAGGGAGCAAAAACGUGAGCUUGUUUCACCAUGUCAUUUGGCUUACUGAUUUUUUUUUAAUUGUGAUAAAAUAUACC